UGACGAGAGUGGGAUUCGAACCCACGCCUCCGAAGAGACUGGUGCCUAAAACCAGCGCCUUAGACCGCUCGGCCAUCUCGCC